ACGGAGACGGUGAUCGUGCGGGGGUGAUGCGACGCGCGUAUCCGAAAGACUCUCGGCAACGGAUAUCUCGGCUCUUGCAUCGAUGAAGAACGUAGCGAAAUGCGAUACUUGGUGUGAAUUGCAGAAUCCCGUGAACCAUCGAGUCUUUGAACGCAAGUUGCGCCCGAAGCCAUUAGGCUGAGGGCACGCCUGCCUGGGUGUCGCCCAUCGUUGCCCCAGUGCCUUGGCCUCGUGCUAGGCACCGAGCUGGGCGAAUGCUGGCUUCCCGCGAGCAAUGCCUCACGGUUGGUUGAAAAGUGAGUCCGUGGUGGAGGGCGCCGUGACGGAUGGUGGUUGAG
rnacentral:rRNA from 1 species